rnacentral:rRNA from 1 species
UGGGGAAUUUUGGACAAUGGGGGCAACCCUGAUCCAGCAAUGCCGCGUGUGUGAAGAAGGCCUUCGGGUUGUAAAGCACUUUUGUCCGGAAAGAAAUCGCCCUGGCUAAUAUCCGGGGUGGAUGACGGUACUGGAAGAAUAAGCACCGGCUAACUACGUGCCAGCAGCCGCGGUAAUACGUAGGGUGCGAGCGUUAAUCGGAAUUACUGGGCGUAAAGCGUGCGCAGGCGGUUGUGCAAGACAGAUGUGAAAUCCCCCGGGNUUAACCUGGGAAUGGCCAUUUGUGAACUGCACGGCUAGGGUGUGUCAGAGGGGGGUAGAAUUCCACGUGUAGCAGUGAAAUGCGUAGAUAUGUGGAGGAACACCGAUGGCGAAGGCAGCCCCCGUGGGAUAACACUGACGCUCAUGCACGAAAGGCGU